UGGCUGAUUCCAUGGAUACACCUGUUAUGAUAUCUGGCACACCGGAUCAGAUGCAUGCAGCCCGAAGUCUUGUUCAAGCAUUUGUUCUAAGUGAACCACCUGCCCCAUGAGAUUUCAAAUCUCUGAAGGUGAUGCAUCCCCUUCUAAUAUUUUGAUCCUUCUGGGGAGAUCAUACGCCCAGGUGAUGCUGUUUGCGUGCUGGGCAAUGAAGCUAGUAACCUUAUGUGUGUUUGAAUUUUUCAUCACUCUGUCUGCAGAGUUGCAUGCGUGAAUGGAUAAUUAUGCUGAACAAAGACUAAAAUUCCAGUGGUGGAACUUCUCUAGGUUCCUUUUAUAAUCUCCCAAAGUUGUGGCACCAGAUAUGGAAAGCAUUAUAGCUGCCUGAAUCUAUCACUUUAUGCAAGCCGUAGCUUGGGGUUGGAAAGUUUCUAACCUUUUUGUGUGAGAACCCUAUCAUACGAUGUUGUGAACUUCUAUAAAGGGAAAUAACCUAUUAGUUAUCAUUAUGAAUUUUUGUCUGACAUCUGCAUUAUUAAGUACUGACAUGACCACU
rnacentral:lncRNA from 1 species